rnacentral:tRNA from 1 species
GCGGGCAUAACUCAACGGUAGAGUUGGAGCCUUCCAAGCUUCAAGUACGAGUUCAAGUCUCGUUGUCCGCUCCA